GACGAACGCUGGCGGCGUGCUUAACACAUGCAAGUCGAACGGAAAGGCCCUGCUUUUGUGGGGUGCUCGAGUGGCGAACGGGUGAGUAACACGUGAGUAACCUGCCCUUGACUUUGGGAUAACUUCAGGAAACUGGGGCUAAUACCGGAUAGGAGCUCCUGCUGCAUGGUGGGGGUUGGAAAGUUUCGGCGGUUGGGGAUGGACUCGCGGCUUAUCAGCUUGUUGGUGGGGUAGUGGCUUACCAAGGCUUUGACGGGUAGCCGGCCUGAGAGGGUGACCGGCCACAUUGGGACUGAGAUACGGCCCAGACUCCUACGGGAGGCAGCAGUGGGGAAUAUUGCACAAUGGGCGGAAGCCUGAUGCAGCAACGCCGCGUGCGGGAUGACGGCCUGCGGGUUGUAAACAGCUUUCGCCUGUGACGAAGCGUGAGUGACGGUAAUGGGUAAAGAAGCACCGGCUAACUACGUG
rnacentral:rRNA from 1 species